rnacentral:rRNA from 1 species
UAAAGGUAUUCCGGUAGACGAUGGGGAUGCGUUCCAUUAGAUAGUAGGCGGGGUAACGGCCCACCUAGUCUUCGAUGGAUAGGGGUUCUGAGAGGAAGGUCCCCCACAUUGGAACUGAGACACGGUCCAAACUCCUACGGGAGGCAGCAGUGAGGAAUAUUGGUCAAUGGGCGAGAGCCUGAACCAGCCAAGUAGCGUGAAGGAUGACUGCCCUAUGGGUUGUAAACUUCUUUUAUAAAGGAAUAAAGUCGGGUAUGGAUACCCGUUUGCAUGUACUUUAUGAAUAAGGAUCGGCUAACUCCGUGCCAGCAGCCGCGGUAAUACGGAGGAUCCGAGCGUUAUCCGGAUUUAUUGGGUUUAAAGGGAGCGUAGAUGGAUGUUUAAGUCAGUUGUGAAAGUUUGCGGCUCAACCGUAAAAUUGCAGUUGAUACUGGAUAUCUUGAGUGCAGUUGAGGCAGGCGGAAUUCGUGGUGUAGCGGUGAAAUGCUUAGAUAUCACGAAGAACUCCGAUUGCGAAGGCAGCCUGCUAAGCUGCAACUGACAUUGAGGCUCGAAAGUGUGGGUAUCAAACAGGAUUAGAUACCCUGGCAGUCCACACGGUAAACGAUGAAUACUCGCUGUUUGCGAUACACGGCAAGCGGCCA